AAUUAAUUGCAACGUUUUAAGUUUGAAAGGGGAAAUACCUAAAACGCAACGGCUAUUUGGUAGCUAAAUGUUCAGGUAAAGGGACGCUUUAUAUGAUUUAAAAUUAAUGUUGAAGUUAGCGAAGGAUUCGCUUUUUUAAAAUAUGUUGUUAUAUUUUAUAUGUAAAAUUGAAAGUACAAAUUCGUACUGAGAAAAUAUUUCGCUGGCAUAUAUAAAUAUAUUUAAUAGCUUUAUGAAUCAUGUUAUUAAUAUUUUGGGCUUCCUUGUUCCUUCUUACAAGCAUAUGUUCCGUGUAACGAUCACUGAAUGGAGUACGUAUUAAACAGAAGCGUUUUGUGAUUCUUGGAAAUCAAAUCAUGCUCGAAAUCAUGCACAUAAAGUAAUAUAAUAGUAAAGCAAAGACUGCUGAAGAGGUAUGAAAUGGCUUUAUUUUUUAAUAUGUAGUUUACUUUUAUCAUAAAGUGUUACUUGAGUAAAAGAACGACAUAGGGCACAUUGCAGCUUAAUAGAUUGACAAGCAAUAUGCUGGCAGAUAGUCCAGUCAAGAACCUUCAGUAAAUUGUCUGGCGAUCAGAAAGG
rnacentral:lncRNA from 1 species